ACUCCAGAGGCACAGCAACGCGGGAACCAAGCCGCAUCUGCAACCUACACCACAGCUCAUGGCAACGCCGGAUCUUUAAUCCACUGAGCGAGGCCAGGGAUCGAACUUGCAACCUCAUGGGUCCUAGUUGGAUUGGUUAACCGCUGAGCCACCACAGGAACUCCUCUCCUGUUACUCUUGAUUUUGCACAUUGGGAUCCUGUUCAAUACACUUCGCUGCAUUUGAAACCCCUCCCAGUCAAUGGGGGCAUGCUUUUUGAAAGGCUGCAUGACAUUCCACACUGGGGAGAGAGGCAUGGCUGUGCUCACACCUACACCCCGCCUGCUGGGCACGGGCCUGGCCGUCUCAGUUCCAGAUCCACUAGAGACCACGGUGCUGUAAGCGCCCCUGAACGCAUACCCAUCCUUCCUUUCUUGAGCUUUGAUUGUAACAGGCUGAAUUUCUACCUCUUUUGCCUCAGGGAAGAAAACCAAGAGAUAUAGAUGGAGGGGGUUUGCCUGGAAUCACACAUCCAAUAAGUGUUCAAAGCAAGUGCACUGGAUGCUGUAUCACAUACUCUUUAUUCCACCAGACACUCUGUCCUUCUUCUAGCCUUACUGCUAGAAAUGUUUCUUUCCAUCAGAUUCAGUAAAGGCUUGCCCUGAAAUCCUUCCUCCCCUGGGACAGAGGUGGUCAAGUGCCUGGCUGUCACAGAACAUCUUGGUGGCUCUGGGUGGAGGGAAUUCAAUGCAGACGAGGCAUUCAGGGCUGCUGCUAGUGCCAGCAUGUAGCAAGCACUUGGGGAAGUCGUGCUAAAAAUACUACAUCUGCUCAAUAAAUGGGUAUUGAAUGCCGACAGUGUUCCAGGCUGGCAGGCGACAGACUUUGUUCAGCCCUGUUCUAAGAUGGCAGGAACAGCCUUGGGCCUCAUUCAUUUCCAUCUUGGAGGCUUACUGGCUGGGCCUGGAGUCCCUGGGGUUGUUAUCAAGGGGAUUCAAGGUCCCCCAGACAGGUCAGACCAGACUGGCCACAAAAUUCUGUGGCCCUGCCUCAUGAGCCACACUGUCCUCAUCUGUGGACUGGGAAGGGGAGAGGGUAAAAACUGGACUUGAGGGACCUUGGACUUCAAACCUGCCAUGUCACCAGUGGGAGUAAGGUACAGAACUGCAAAGGGAUAUUUCCAAAGUGUCCCAGGAGCUGGUGAUGGGGUUGGGGCACAAGUCCCUUCUGGGGGGCUUCUAGCCUUAUUGUUCUUUGUUCUGUGCUGCUGCCAUUUCAACCCUGUGCACAUGUGUGCCCGUUUUCUUUUCCUCUCUACAAACCUGGAUGAAAUACACACUGAUGAAAACUGUGGGCUGUGAGAACAGGCAGGCCUGAGUUUGAGUCUUAGCCUCCUACCCAUACAGUGACCUCAGAAAAUUAUUUAACCUCUGUGGGUUCAUAACAAUGGCCAGUCCCCCAGAGUUCUGAGAAUUCCAUGAAACAAUGACUUGAAAGGGCCUAGCAGGAAGCCAACCACAUAGUAUGCACUCACUAAAUGCUGAUCAUGUCUUUUAGUUCCCAUUUGCAUCUUUGAAUUCUUGCAGAACCUCUCUGCAAUUCCCAGAGUCUCCAGUACAACUUGUUUUCCCCAAACAAUAGCUCUCUUGACGUCUGAGGAGAAUGGGGGCCUCUGUGAAGCUCUUCCAAACCCUCUAUUGCGGGCUUUCAUCCACUGAACCCCUGAGGAAUUGUCGGCCUGCACUUAACUUCUCCAGAAGCAAGACUCUGCUGAUCCCUUUCUGCUGAACAGCAAUGAACUUGUCAAGAGACCAGCCAGGAGGGAGGUGGUGAAGGGGCAGGAGCAGGGCAGGCAGGUGUACAAGCCAGCGAGGAGGGCUGGGGCCAUCCAUCUUGAUUCUUUUCUCCGUGUCCAAGUGUAAAGGGAUUUGUGUCUACAAGGCUGUCUUCGCCAACCUCAGGGAAGAAGAGAAGUUGUUUAAUUGGAAAGUUUUACUUCUACCACAGAGGAAGAUUCUGGGACAAUUAGGGAUAUUGUAAUUUCUUAUUAAGGUCAAAAAGAAAUGAUAGGUAGAGCCCAUGAGUCACUUUCCAACAUGGUGAGAAAUGGAGUUGCUGGGUGACUGGGUGCGAGUGAGCCUGCGUGCCCCCAGUCUUAACGAUGUGGAGGGGGGGCUGUGGGAAGGGCGCUGGCUGCCUCCUUCCUGCCUCUGGAAUGCUCACCUUUUUGGAAACCCAAUAAAAUUAAUUCCAAGCUCAGAUUAUUAAUUCGUCCUGGUGUGUGAAUAAUUCAUUGUGGCAGAAGCCCUGUCACAUCUUCACGUUUUGGAGCGCAUAGCCUCUCCCGCUCUUGCCUUCGGAGAGAUGGCUUUCCCUUCUAACCUGCCCAAGUGUGAGAGGGACCAAGCACUCAGCCAUCAAUUCCCCAAGGAGGUCUGAGCCCUGAUUUGAGCCUGAUGCCUAUUUCGAAUCCAGCAGCCAGAGUGUAGGUGGCUGCAGUGAACUGAGGCGACCUGCUGAAGUCAGGAUGCUUCUUAAGGACCAGGGGGACUUGCUCGCCAGGCUCAUGGCUGCACAAGGAUGUAAAAGGAAUUCCUGUCGUGACCAAACGCCACUGCCCAUUACAGUGAGGUCCUCUGAGAGGACCUCCAUUGGCCUGCCCAUCAAUUAUGCAUUUCCCCAGCACACCUUCCAGGCCAGCUUCUCGUGUCAGGAUUGUUCCCUGACUGCUCCCCUCUGAGCAAGUGUCUCCACUCUGCUCCUGGGGAAGAGAUAAGAGAUGAGGCACUACCAGCUGAUAGCCUCCAGGGAGCCCAGUGCCAAAGCCUAAGUGGAACAAGGGAAGGGAUGAGUGGGUCCAGAAGCUUCUCUCUUGAACAGGAAUAAGGAGCAUGGGCCAUCCUCUGUUAAACCAGUGGCUCUGGGGAUCUUUCUUGCUUUGAACACAUGUUGUCACUGAACUGUGUGCUUACAAAGGACCCUGGGAUGCAGACGGGUGAGCAAGCUGCCCUUCUGAUAGAUGAGGCAUCUGCCACUUGAAGAGGCACAGGCAGUGUGUAGCUUUGCCUGGCAGGUUCUGGUCGGGCUUGAAAUAGUCCCUAAUCUGGUGGGCAAAUAAUUCUCGUAUCUCUUCUUUUACCAAGGAGGAUGCUCACCCCAACCCUGCGUAUUCGUUACCCGCACUCAGGACAGGAGUCCUGGCCACCGCUUGGAUCUGGUUCUUGGGCUAAGGAGCUUCUGCUCUGAGCUGGCAGCAGACACCCAAUAAGGUCUCAGUGACAGGGCCCUGCUAAGGGAUAAGGAAGAUACGUGAGGACCCAGGGAAGAGCAGCCUGCUGACUACAAGUUCCUCAAGGGCAAGGACCACGUCUGAUGAAUGUCCCACUGCAGCCCAUCCCACAGCACAGCUGUAUCGUGAUAAAAGCAGAACGAGAGAAUAAAUGAAGGAAUGCAAGGCAGACCCCAAGGAAAGCCAAUGGAGAGGUAAAACCAAGCAGCCCCUGGAGGCCUGAGGAGAGGGUGCUAUCUCCAUCUGGGGGAUCUAGGAUGACUUCCUGGAGGAGGUGGCAUUGGAACUUUGGGGAUUCUCUGGCUGUGAAUUCAGAGGGUUCUCCUGCCUCAUUUAGACAUUCAAAGACGACUUACUAAUUAACAACUGGAGAAAGAAUUCUGCAUGCAGACUGUUUGUACCUUAGCCGAGUGUCCCCAAACUUGGGAAACACAGUAGCACUUUAUGUAGGUUUCCAGUUGAGCCUGGAAUCAGCGUGAAUUGUUGGGAGGGGUUUGGGGAGUAGGGUAGACAGGCACAGGCUCUGCAGAGCCUGGCACCACACCCCUCUCUCUUCCCUUCAGAGCACAUCUUUCCAGAGACCAUCACAUUUGAUCUUGCCGAUUAUUUGGUCAACCUCUUUUCUCUGGGCAGCGCUGAUGGGGAACAACAUAUGCUUGGCCUUCUGCCUUCCUCUCCUAUACACACCCCUACACACACCCACAUCACACCCAUUUAUCUCCAUGACAACAAGGGGAGAGAGCGUGGCCUGAUGCUUCCAGGCCUCAAUACGCGGACUUAGAGCCUAGAGACUUAGCAGUUCUGGCCCUGCAGCCUCACAAAGAAGGACUAGAGUGAUUGCAGAGGCCAGGCAUGGAGAAGGGAGGGCUUUGGGGUUGCUUGUGCCCUCAGAGAGGAGGGGUCAUUGCCCUGGGAGCCCUACUGCUGGCCGUUUCCUGAUGAAGAGGUUGGUCAUUUUGCCCCCAAACACCCUCAUCCCUUGUCAGGGAUAAGCAGCGUUUGGGGGAAGGAGGGCCGGCUUUGUAUCCAAUCCCAGCUCUACCAUUUCCCUCUUCUUGUGAGUUCUCUGAACCUCUGGAUCUGCAUCUAUAAAAGGACAACUCCUUGAAAGGACUUCUGUGACUUCUAGAAAUUGGCAUUAAAAAAAAAAAUCUAUCAACGCCUCUGUUUUAGAAACUAACCAAAUGAGAUUGGUCAAAAUCAGAGAUAGGGUGUGAGGGGUGGAGAACGUGCAAACCGGCAAAAUAGGGAAACAACUAGUCAGUCUAAUUAAGAAAAAGAGUAGAGACAAAACAAUACCAAAAUUAGGAGUGGGAAAGGGAAUAUGGCCAUUGGUAUUACACAGAGGAUGUUAUAAAACUAAUAUGAGGAUAUAUGAACCAACUCUGUAAAAUAUGUUGAAGACAAGAUCAAAUGCAUAUUUUUCUAUGAAAACAUAUACUUAACUUUAAAAAUGGCAGUUUCAGACUUCCCUUGUGGCUCACAACAUAACUGCAUAGCGUUGCUUCUACAGUGGCUGUGGCUUAACUCUUGGCUCGGGUAUUUCAUAUGCCACAGGUGUGGCCACUUGUUUAAAAAAUAAAAUAAAAAAAUUUUAAAUGACAAGUUCAUCAGAGCAAAACCCUGGGAGAAAGUGGAAGAAAAAGUCAAUGAAUUACAUCUCCAACUAAUUUGCAUCCGUGUAGGAAAACAGGCUAAAAUAGUUUCACAGACUGCUUCUUUUUUUUUCUCUUCAAAAUUUCAAGGAGUUAAUCAUUACCAAGCUAUACAAAGUAUUCCAGAAUGUUUUUUUAAUAAAUCAAUACCUAAUUCAUUUUACAAGUUAGAAUAUUGCUAAUAAUCAUGUUUGACAACGAUAAUAUCCAAAAAAUAAAUCUACAAGAUAUCACCAGUGGAUUUACAUGUAAAGAUUCUAAAUAAAGUAUGCAUAUAUAUCAAAUUUCUGAAGUGUAUUAAAAGGAUAAUAUACUAUGAUUAAGUAGGGUAUAAUCUGGGUAUGGUAGGUUUAAAAAUCAAUCAACAUAAUUUAUCAAGUUAAAAAUAGUAAAGUAUUGAGUUCCCAUUGUGUCUCAGUGGGUUAAGAACCUGACAUAGUCUCUGAAGAUGUGGGUUCAAUUCCUGGCUUUGCUCAGUGGGUAAAGGAUCCGGCAUGCCGCAAGCUGCAGCAUAAGAUUGCAGAUGAGGCUUGGAUGUGAUGUUGCUGUGGCUGUGGUAUAGGCCAGCAGCUGCAGCUCCGAUUCAAUGCCUAGCCUAGGAACUUCCAUAUGCUGUAGGUGUGCCAUGAAAAGAAUAAUAAAAUAAAAAAUAAAACAAA
rnacentral:lncRNA from 1 species